UCCGCAUCGAUUUGAAACCAAAUCAAUUCCGUCAACAUGAAUCUCAUCUUAUCCCCACCGCUCCUACUCCACUACUUGUCUUCUUCUCUCUACGAAAACCGGCGUCAUCAUCGUUCUUCGUUAUUUCCUCUUUUAAACCCUAAUCUUCUUUUUUCCAGUCUAUCAAUAGCUGUGUUGUGAGGAACCCGUGGCGUCUCUCCAAAUAAAUGCCACCCAAUUGGAAUUUCAAAUAUUGAAUUCAAACACUCUUCCAUCUCUCUCCCUAUAUUCUCUAAACCCUAACUCCACCAUUUAUCAAUUUUUUUCGAUGAAGCUCCAAAACAAAGCAAAAUAAGAACGAAUUAAGAUCCUCGGUGUCCUUGAAAAGCGCUUCCCAGGAGGUUUAUCAGAAAGCUGCCAUCUAGAAUCAUUAUGAGAAUGAUGGAAAUUCUGAUAAGUUCAACCGGGUAGAGGUACUGGGUUAUAUACCCAUGUAGAUGAAGGUCGUGGGUUCUACUCCUGGCUGGAUCAUAUGUGGGUGAUUUUUCCGAGAGCGGUAGCUGAGUUUAGAUCCAAGUUAAUGCGUGAAGCCCCACAAAGGGAAACUGGGUGCAAGUGGUUAUUCUCCUUGGAGAGGUUUCGAUCUCGGAUCUUCGUGACUAGGUAAUGCUUUUGGAGGCACAUGAAGACUGAUUUUUAUAGCGGGCAUGUUGGUCUUUGUGACACGUGUCUGGGAUUUCUUUUUUAUUUUAUGGGGUUACAUCUUUCAGUAGGUUUCUGAAAUUGUGUAGGGGCUUUGUUUUCUUGAAACCUCUGAGGUCGAACUGAGUAUUCUAUCUUUAGCAGCCCCUCUUUUUUCUUCAUACUUUUCCCUAAUCAAGUUCUCAAUGCCAACCCUAUCAUAGUUUCUACUUUCGAGGUAGUUUUGCUUCCACAUUAUGAAGCUAAUAUUUGUUUGCAAGAAGAAAGGUGUGACAGGGCAAGGAGGAAGACAAAAUGGACGAUCGUGAGGAAGAGGGUCACAGAGAAGGAGAUUGAAACUAUAACAUGAGGGUCAUCGAGAGGGACCAAGGUUGCCAGCAGAAGGAACGGAGAGCGAAAUGAGAGAAUGAGGAGUGUUGCCAAUGCAAGGUAAUAAAACUUUGAAUUAAUAGCGAAUUUAACUUUAUUUUUUAUGAAGAUCAUAGGAAAACCUUCUAAUAGACAUGCAUUUUAAGUCCUGGUAAGUGUAGUUAUGAUUAAGUUGGCAGGUUUGAAGAUGCACACCACGUGCUUGAUGAAAUGAUUGAAAGAACUGGUUAGUGUAGUUACGAUUAAUUUGAUUUCUUGAUUUUCUUUGGGCUAUAAAGAAAUCGAAAAAACGAUAUUUUUAUCAGCUACUCAAGCUCAAGGUGAUAGUAAAUUAUGAUUUCCCUUUUGUUAAUAAACUUGAGAUGACAAACAAGGAUCUGAAAUCAAUUCCUUUAAAGUAAAUAUUUAAUCAUUUUCUUUUUAUUGAAUUCUUAGGUUUCAUUUGAAUUUAGAACCAUAUAUAACAUCUAGGCCUACAUUUGACCAACGAACACUACAUCUCUUUUUCGGGGUAAUCAAUAUUCAUGUUUUUUUGUACGUGUGUGUGUGUGUGUGUUUAAAUAUUUGGUAGAUUGAACCCAAUGUGGGAAUUGAGGUGUGUUUAUUUUCACAGGUUUGAUGAAGGUUUUACCGUAUAAAGUUUCCAUGUGCUUUUUAUUAUAGAUCAUCCACAGUUUGAGGUGGCAUAAUUUUUCUUUUAUUAAUGUAUGCAUGUGAAUGUAUGUAUGUACAUGUAUGUAUUUGGCUGUGUGUGUAUGUGACUGUAUGACUAUGUAUGUAUGUAUUUUAUUUGCUUUAA